GGAUGGUCUUUUUGGGAGGCAGACAGAAUUCUGCACAUAGAAUCAGCUCAUCCUAAUGUAGAGGAUGCUAAGCUGUUUGGCUCUGAUUAUUCCGAAGAUCCCACCUUUUUUUUUUUUAAUCUGUUAGCGUGACUGCUUGUCACAUUGUAAUAUUGUGUUCCUUGCCUUAGGACAG
ensembl:misc_RNA Gm27365 predicted gene, 27365